CAGGCCACGGAUUUUGGCAGUCUCAGGAUGAGACCGGUACAUCAGGACGGCGUAUCGACAAGGACUGUGAAGGGAACAAUCGGAUGGAUUCGAUACAGUAGGUAGGAAACUUACUGGUCAGGAUGACAAAAGGACCACUUCAGGAAGAAGUCAGGGACACCUCCAGGACGGAGAAGAGAGUUGUAACAGGACGUUGCAAUGGGUCAGGAAAGACCAAGUGGAACAUCUCCGGGAAGGAGUUUUAGGGAAACGCUGAAGGAUACAGCAAUAUCAAGGAAUGAUGCAGGGAGCACCUAAGUAGCUGGAUUGCUGCAAGUAAGACCUAAGGGCGCAACGAAAGUUGCGCCCGCUCUUUUUUUA
rnacentral:other from 1 species